rnacentral:rRNA from 1 species
UACGAAGGGUGCAAGCGUUAAUCGGAAUUACUGGGCGUAAAGCGAGUGUAGGCGGUUGCGUGUGUCGGAUGUGAAAGCCCUGGGCUCAACCUGGGAAUUGCAUUCGAAACUGCGUAACUAGAAUAUGGUAGAGGAAGACGGAAUUCCACGUGUAGCGGUGAAAUGCGUAGAUAUGUGGAGGAACACCAAUGGCGAAGGCAGUCUUCUGGGCCAAUAUUGACGCUGAGGCUCGAAAGCGUGGGUAGCAAACAGG